rnacentral:rRNA from 1 species
CAGUAGCCGCGGGAACAUGAAGGGUGCAAGCGUUACUCGGAAUUACUGGGCGUAAGGCGUACGCAGGCGGUUUGUUAAGUCAGAUGUGAAAUCCCCGAGCUUAACUCGGGAACUGCAUUUGAAACUGGCAAGCUAGAGUCUUGUAGAGGGGGGUAGAAUUCCAGGUGUAGCGGUGAAAUGCGUAGAGAUCUGGAGGAAUACCGGUGGCGAAGGCGGCCAUCUGGGACAACACUGACGCUGAAGCACGAAAGCGUGGGGAGCAAACAGGAUUAGAUACCCGUGUAGUCCCUGUCUCUUAUAC